AUUCAAACCCCAAAACCUACAUAAGAGAGGUAAUGGGGGAGUGAAUUCUCAGGUCUUUCCCUCCCACCUGGCCCUAAGGCUGCCACGGAGUUUUCUAGAAGUGUUUGUGGGCAGAUUGCUUUGUUGUUCCCACUCAUUUACUGCGCUCCCUAUUGGAAGAUUCUGUAAUCCUGCCUCUCCCAGGUGAAUUUCUGUGCUCCUCUCAGGGCAGAAAUGAGUCUUACCCAUUUCCUUCAGGCUUUGGCUGAGACAAUGUGAGUGCAACAGCUGUGAGGUCAUCCUGAGCUCAAGGUCUAAGCAAUACCAUGGGAUUCAUUCCUCGGGUACGAACACUGAGCAUCCCCCUCAGGUACGAAGACUGUGCAUCCCAGUGCAGGCUGCUGCUUUGGGCUGUGUUCUCCAUGAAUACGUGCCACAGGAUUUCAGUUGACCCCAGUUAAAAUGUCCCCUUAGCAAGAAAUUAGCCUUUGUGGCUGUGAGCUACUUGUUACUGCAGCUUAAUGCAGCAAAAGCUGACUACAGCACUUCUUUGCCAGGAAACUUUUUAUAGGUGAAUCCUUCACUAACAGUGUAGCCUUUCAAGGAUCCUGCAUUUUUACAAGGGUCUCAAUUAUCUGUCUUAUUCUGUCUUAUUCCAAUUCUCUUAGAGUUGAAUUCAAGACGACCUAGUCUCUCCUAAUGGAAAUUUUAAAACUCAGCAAGG
rnacentral:lncRNA from 10 species